AGAUGAUCAUCGUUUUCUUCCUUUUCAUGAGUAAAGUUAGCAAGUUCUUGAAGAUAAAGGAAACAAAAAAUAGAGAUGGAUAGAGUUUUAGAAUUCAGGGACAUGAGAAAAGAGGAAUGGUGGCAACAUAUUCUGAUCACAACCUAAGAUUCAGAGAUGAUGCAACCUUGCUGUCGCAUUAGUAGAUGAGCAACUUGCUUUUGUUUGCAAUCGUCAGUCUUCCUUGAUCUUUCAAUUGGAAAGUAUUAGGAAGCAACUUGGCUCUGUUAAAGUCUUCUUUCAUCUUGUUCUGCUCAGUUGCAUUAGCAUGUCAAUUUCCAGGAGAAGUUUCCUAACAACUGCUGAUAGCUGUCUUUUUGGUGGCCACAAAUCUUGUCUCUCUUAUUCGUAUUAAUUAUGGUUGUCCAAUAGCUACUAAUUUCUCCUAUUUGGCAGUUCUCAGGAAAUUCUCAGAACCUUCACAUUCAAGAAGAUGCUCCAGUCAUUUAAAACUCUUGAUAGGGUUCUUGAAGAGUUCUUUUUUUAGAUGAAAGCUGUUCCAACUUUGGGGCUCAUCAAGAUCAGGCAUCAUGGUUGACUGACUUGAGGAUAGACAACAAUAUGAAAUGAGGAACAAAUACAUGAUAUUGACAGAUAACCUAAUAGUUGAAGGAUUCUUGGUCUACGCUCUUAUCCCAUUUAAUGUUUAUUGGAAGUAGAGAUCCAACUGAUGGAUUGAAACAUGUCUUUGAUAGCUCUCUAUGCACUCUUGUCACAACCCACAAGAUUGUGGUAGUUUGGUUUUCUUGUAAGGUGUAUUGACAGAUCCAAUUGGUGUUUGGAAUCUUUGUGUAUUUGAAUCAGUCAGUUGAAUAGUUUCAGACUAAUGGAGGAUGAUCCAAACAGGGCAUGAUAAGAUUUUGUGUAUUGCAAGCUGUUGACCGCAGAUUUCUCAUGAUUAAUCAUAAGAUAAGCUAUGUAUUGUUAUUAUCUGUAAUCUAAGAUAAUUGUGUUGGUGUGAGAUGAUCCACAUUGAUCAUGUAUACAAUUUUCCUCACAAUUGAUGGAAUCAUGGUUGUGGUAAUAAUUGUUUUCAGGUGUAUGAAAAAGAAUAAAUCUCUUCAGUAGGUGUUUUCUUUUUCAAACAAAUUGAAUUAAAAUAAGACUUGAAGACAGGCGAAGUUUCAACACCAAGAACGCUUCCCCUCUGUCAUCACCUGCAGGUUGGUGUAGCCUUACAAGUUCGUCACUUAAAUAUUGUAUUUAUGUCACGCACGUUUGCAUAUGCCCAAUUUAACUCAGACUAAUCAUUAUUAUUAGUUUCAUGAAGGAUAUAUGUGUGUGUAAAGAGUAGUGAUGUAAAUUUGAAUUCAACAUUGACAGUCAAAUCAUGUAGAUUCACUAUAAUAUUUAUGAAUUUUGCAUAUAUAUGUAUAUAUAUAUAUAUAUAUUACGUAGAUGUGUUUUUAUAUUUUGAACAGAGGCAAUUCAUAGACAAUGAUAGAAUAGAAAUUAUUCACUGAUAUCAUAAUUUAGAAAUGAAUUGUACGAAAUAAUUAAGUCACAAAUGUUACAUAGGUGGUAAGUAUGAAGCCUAUGUUUUGGGUAUAAGAAUUAGAGGGGCAUGCAAAGAAAACUUGGAUAAUGUAUGCAGAAAAGUCUGUAUAACAUUGAUAGCGUGACAAUAGUGAGCUCAAUGAAGUAGGGGCCAGCCAACAUCAUAUUCCUACAAGGCAUUGUUCGAGUCUUACUGUAAGUUUGUAUCCUCCAAACUGCACAUUGCUACAACUAUCCGACUGAAGAAGCUAUGGAUGCAUCUGCAGUUGCAACAGAUGGAGCUGUUUAAUUUGAUCUACUCAUGUAAUGAUCCUCUUGUUUGAGAUGCUUGUCUUCAUCAAUCGAAUACAUAUUGGUUGCAUCAUAAGCUCAAGUCCACCAAAUGUGCAACUGCAUGAUCUUCUUGGAUCUCAUGCCCAGAUCUUUUCAGUUGAUGAGUCUCCCAUUAAUGGGACAUGCUGCAGCUGCAUGCAUGUCAAUGUGAACAAUAUGAUCUGUGCAUGGUAGAAUGAUCCAUUUAUGGUCAACAGAGUGUGGCCCCUCUCUGAGCCACUUUGCCAUGGAUUCUGUGUCAUGACUCGGGAUGUAGACGAGCUUCACUCGAUUACCUGUUGCCAUUAGCACUCGAAUGUAAGCAAAGUUCACGAGAAGGUAAUUCUUGGUUCAAACUGUUUUGCAGAGUCAAUACAAAGAAGAAGAGAUGUUACAUCAACAUUUUCUUAGGGAUCUAAUUCUUACCCUCCAUAAAUAAGGGUUGGGUGAUUGAGAUCAGGAAUGAAUCGACAUUUAUAAUUUUGCUAGUUUUCAUUAAUAAAAUUUUAAAUAUUUUUAUUUAAUUAAAGAUAUUGUCUUGUAUGGAACUCAAUAAUUGAUUUUAAAUAAUUGAGACAUUACGGUUUGUUAUUAUUAUUUUUUAUAAAUAAAAUUGUCUGUUGCUCAAAAGAUAAUGUGUUAAUUACAGAAAAGUUAAUCUGAUUAGAAAUCCCACUAUGAGAAAUAGAAAUUGCAGAACUGAGACUUCUAAAGAUGAGACAAUGAACAUUAUUAUUUAUAUUUUUUGAAAUAUAUUUAAAAUUAAUUAUUUUGAUCAUCUUGGCUAAAUAAAAGAUAGUGGUAAAAAGAAAGUGUACCAUAUCAAGUUGGUAUUGUCAACAAAAUUUGUAUAAAUUAUAGAGUCCAGUACACAAUAAAAUAAAAUAAAAAUUCAAAGAGUAAGCUUUGAGUAGCCUUUUCAGGAUUGAAAUCUCAUCCCAUUAGUAUGAAGAAGGCAUAAGUUUUUUUAUUUAUAAAAAAAUAAAAAAAUUAUUGAUGAAAUUGAUAGAAAAUAAUCUCAUUCAUCUUAAAGAAAAUCAAAAGAUGGAAGUCCACAUGAUAAAUUUUUUUAAAAAACUAAAAAAAAUGUUGAUUCUAUCAUAGGUGGUUAACUAACUAAUUAGUUUUACGAUUUUCUUUCAUAAAUAUAUAUGUGAUGUUCCCUGGUUUAUUGUUAUUGUUGCUAUAGGUGAGAAGGUAUGGCACAAGAAGACUGUUAAUAUGGGUUGAGUGUUAAUGAUUCCUAAAUACUAUGUUGUAUCUAAUAUCAUUUCUCGAUUUGUAUAUGUCAUCCUUACGUAGGGUAUAUAUUAAUCUUUUUUAUAUCAUUCUAAUUUUAUUAAAUAUUUUUGGGUUAUUCUGAAUUUUGUCAAAGAUGUCAAACCAUUAAGCGGAGGAGUUUAUAACAUCUCGAUUAGUAUUAAGAUUAAUUUAUAAGAAUAAGAUUUUUAGAAUGCAUGAACACGAUAAAAGAGGAAUUGUGGCAACAGAUUCUGAUCACAACCUAAGAUUCAGAGAUGAUGCAACCUUGCUGUUGUGAUAGUAGAUGAGCAACUUGCAAUCGUCAGUCUUCCUUGAUCUUUCUAUUGAAAAGUAUAAGGAAGCAACUUGGCUCUGUUAGCUGGAAUUUAAAGUCUUCCUUCGUCUUGUUCUGCUCAGUUGCAUUAUCAUAUCAAUUUACAGGAGAGUUUCCCAGCAACUGCUGAUCGCUCUGUUUGGUGCCCACAAAUCUUGUCUUUCUCUUAUUCGUAUUAAUUAUGCUUGUCUGAUAGCUACAAAUAUCUCUAUUUGUAAUCAGGACAACUGCCUGUUCUUACCAAUUAAUACCUUAUAAUCAGAUCUUGUUAAAGAAAUGUUUCUCAACAAACUUUCCAAGAGUACUUCAACACUAUUCAAUAGAUGAAAAUAGGAGGAAUUUAUAAUCCUGAUCCAUGUUGUGUCAUCAUUUUGAAUCCAUUCCUUUUGAAUUGGCACUUUCUCCAUCACAAUAACUGGGAAGAGACUUCUACAAUAGCUAGCCUUAGAACUUUUUUCUUUUUUGGCAUAUGUUCAUACAUUAACCAAUCAUAAAAAGAAUAUGAUUCUUUAUGCUGAUUCCUUAGUUAUAAGAUAAGCUGAGACCUAUUUGGCCAAUAUUUUCCCAAUACUUCUUUAUUAAUAGAGGCUUCAGGAGUCUUAUAUGUUGUAUUUCAAUUUUUUUUAAGAGCAGGAUUUGUCUCAAUUAUUAUGUGACUUGGACUAUGGUGUCAAUUGAAAGACCAUGACAAACUAAUUAAUAGUGCACAAAUUAUGGCUCAUUGGCUGUAGCCUUUUUUUUAUGAGAAGGGAUAAAAUGGAGCAGCAGUGUGAGCAAGAAAGAAGGAUUUAAUUGACAUUUUUCAGUGAACAAGUUAAUCCUUGGUUGGUGGUGAAAAGACAGUUUCAUGGUGAAGUAACAAUUUUUGCAAGGAUGUGUUUAUCUUUGGCUAUCAUAUUUUAGUUUAUGUAAUUGUUGCAGAAUAUUUAUUUGCACCAUUAUUCACAUUGCUUGAAGGGAUUGCUAUUAUCACACAGCAUCUUAGCAUUAAGAGAACAUUUCAAGGGUGGCGUUGGACGCCAAAUGGAAAUCAAAUUGAUCUUUGUUUAUUAAUAAAAUCACGUGCGUUUGUUGUUCUUUAGAAACUUUAAUACUCCUGAUUUCAUUUGAGACUUUGGAAACCUGGGAUUAGCACAAGUCUCUAUGAUACGCCAACAGGUUUUUGCGUUACUAGGUUAUGUGUAACAUUAAGGAACAGAUAUAUUGUUUCUUUGGCCGAGCUGCAUGUUCUUACACUUGUUAAAUUCUCUUUCCUUAUCCUUUUUUCAUCGACUAUUUUCUAAAUCUUGGAUCAUAAAACUCAAAUAGAGUGAAGAUAAUUAAAGUGAACUUUAUCUUCUAAAACAGGCUUUUGCUUAUUAUUAAGAUGAUUCAGAUAAAUUCUGCAAUUCAAAAUUGCAGCUUUCGACACCCAUAAUUGUCCACGAGAAGCAUAUGAAAUAGAAUUGAGGGGCAUAAAUCUGCCUGUUCUCACUAUCCAUCAUGAAGUAAUUUUAUCUAGAAAGGAGAGCCAAAUUUAUGCAGUCAUGAAAUUUUUUGUUCUCAUAUUUCUUCUACGAUGAUUGUUUAAAUGGCACAGAUUUUGAGAUUCUGGCUUUUCCAUGCAACCAAUUUGCUGGGCAUGAACCAAUGAGGAGAUUGUUGAGUUUGCUUGCACUCGAUUCAAAGCUGAAUAUCCCAUAUUUGACAAGGUAAAUUAUUGUUUUUUUUAUUUUCUCAAUUUCUGGGUUUAUCCCUUCGAUAAUCUUCUGUAGGCAAAUCUCACAGCUAAACCAUUCUUGACCAGUGUUUACCCCAAUAUAAAUUGAUUUUUUUUUUUUUAUCAGAUCAUUAUGUUUGAGAGAAACCUACUCAGUCGCUUGACUUUCUAGUUGCAAUUAAUUUUCUUCUAUAGGUCGAUGUGAAUGAUCUAAAUACAUAAGUUCUUGAAGUCAAGCAAAGGUGGCGACAUUUUGGGGGAUGGCAUCAAGUGAAACUGCACUAAGUUCAUGAUGGACAAGGAUGGUCGUGUUGUAGGUCGCUAUGCCCCAACCAUAUCCCUUUUGAGUAUUUGAGGUAAACCCAAAGCUCCCUUGCCUCAUCCCUCUUACCCUUUGUCAAAUCGUAUUCGAUAUACUCGACGGUGCCAACAAUAUACCAUCAUCUAACGAUUGAUCUUAAAUAACUUUGCAGAAGGAUAUCAAGAAGCUUUUGAGGCCUUCAUAAAUUACAUAUGCUUGCAGCCUCUGAUCUUGCUUGCACACUGCUGUAGUACAUAUGACCAUGACUAAAGUGUCAAUUGCUUAAAAGAUAAUAUGUUAAUCACAGAAAGGUUAGUCUAAUUAUAUAUCCGACCACGGGAGAUUUCAAAUAUGGAAUUAAGGAUUCUGGAGACAAGAGAAUGAAAAUUAUAAUUUAUACAUUCAUGAAAUAUGUUGAAAAUUAAUUAUAAAUAGAAGAUGUUGGUAAAAAUAAAGCAUGGGUUGUAAGAUUUUAAGUUGUUAUCGUAAGCAAAAUUUGUAUAAAUUUUAGAGUUUCUUACACAAUUAAAAAUAGAAAUUUAAACUUUAGAAUUUCAAUCUGUUAUUAAUUUUGACGUAUAUGUUACUCUUACUUUAUCAAUACACCAUUCAUAUUUAGAUCAGGAUGGAUGCCCUUCAAUUAUAAUUGUAAUUGUAUCUAUAUAAUCCUUACAUUAAAUUGACCUAAUUAACUUCUUAUUUUCGGCUACUGUUCGAGGUGGAUGCAAUAAAGGCCUUCACAAGCUUUGAAAUGUCAAUUACCCUCGAACCUCCAUGUUCGUUCUUGAAUUCUACAACUAUAUUUACAAGGUACCAUUAUCAACAUUAAUAAAUAAAUUUUAUAGGAUCGACGUUUUGUUGCACAAGAGCAUAUCAUUUGCGUUAAUUCAUAAAAAUAAUUUAGAAUUACGAGAGAGACAUAUGAUUUGACCUUAAAAUUAAGAUCUUAUACGAAAGUUUUAUCUAGAAAUCCAGAUUUGGUCAACUCUUUUUCAAAUUAAAACUUUAUAUGUAAAAAUAUAUAUGAAAAAGAAAUCAAAUUUACAGGAAUAUUAACAAUGCUACGAUAUAUAUAUAUAUAUAUAUAUAUAUAUAUAUAUAUAUAUUAUUUUUGUAUAGCAUGGCUUAAGAUAUUGUGAGAAGUAUUUGGUAGCUUAAGCUGACAGCAUCCGAAAUGUAUCCGUCCACACCGGUGAAUUCCCAUGCCUCGCUCUGUAAAAUAGCACUCCAUUUGCUUCUGUCAGUUUCUCUGGACAGUCUACACCCCAAAGCUAUAGCUGCCAUGGGCAAGCCUCUGCAUUUGUUGACGACAUACAUCUUGUAGUCAUGAAGUUAGCAUCUUCUUCGAUUCUGGUGGUCACUAUUAUCUUACUUCCUUGAGCACCGGAGUACAAGAAGUUUUUUAUCCUCUCCCAGUCCUGUGGGCUCACAUGCCAAACAUCAUCCAGAACAAGCAGGUAUCUCCUCCCACUCAGCUUCUUUCCAAGUUCUUUCUGAAGAUUGUCAAGGCUGACAAAGUCACACCGAAAACCAUCGAUGGAUUCAAUGAUGGUCUUCGUAAUGCUCGUUGUAUCAAAAUCCUGAGACACAUAAGCCCAUANNNNNNNNNNNNNNNNNNNNNNNNNNNNNNNNNNNNNNNNNNNNNNNNNNNNNNNNNNNNNNNNNNNNNNNNNNNNNNNNNNNNNNNNNNNNNNNNNNNNNNNNNNNNNNNNNNNNNNNNNNNNNNNNNNNNNNNNNNNNNNNNNNNNNNNNNNNNNNNNNNNNNNNNNNNNNNNNNNNNNNNNNNNNNNNNNNNNNNNNNNNNNNNNNNNNNNNNNNNNNNNNNNNNNNNNNNNNNNNNNNNNNNNNNNNNNNNNNNNNNNNNNNNNNNNNNNNNNNNNNNNNNNNNNNNNNNNNNNNNNNNNNNNNNNNNNNNNNNNNNNNNNNNNNNNNNNNNNNNNNNNNNNNNNNNNNNNNNNNNNNNNNNNNNNNNNNNNNNNNNNNNNNNNNNNNNNNNNNNNNNNNNNNNNNNNNNNNNNNNNNNNNNNNNNNNNNNNNNNNNNNNNNNNNNNNNNNNNNNNNNNNNNNNNNNNNNNNNNNNNNNNNNNNNNNNNNNNNNNNNNNNNNNNNNNNNNNNNNNNNNNNNNNNNNNNNNNNNNNNNNNNNNNNNNNNNNNNNNNNNNNNNNNNNNNNNNNNNNNNNNNNNNNNNNNNNNNNNNNNNNNNNNNNNNNNNNNNNNNNNNNNNNNNNNNNNNNNNNNNNNNNNNNNNNNNNNNNNNNNNNNNNNNNNNNNNNNNNNNNNNNNNNNNNNNNNNNNNNNNNNNNNNNNNNNNNNNNNNNNNNNNNNNNNNNNNNNNNNNNNNNNNNNNNNNNNNNNNNNNNNNNNNNNNNNNNNNNNNNNNNNNNNNNNNNNNNNNNNNNNNNNNNNNNNNNNNNNNNNNNNNNNNNAUAUAUAUAUAUAUAUAUAUAUAUAUAUAUAUAUAUAUAUAUAUAUAUAUAUAUAUAUAUAUAUAUAUAUAUAUAUAUAUAUAUAUAUAUAUAUAGUUGAUCAUGGGGGCACAUAAAUGUGUUUUUAUAUUUUGAACGAGUUCAAGAAACAAUUCAUCAACGAUAAUAUAACAUAAAUUAUUCACAGAUAUCGUAAUUUAGAAAUGAAUUGUACCAAAUAAUUAAGUAAAAAAUGUUGCGUAGGUGGUAAGUAUGAAGACUAUGUUUUGGGUAUAAGAAUUAGGAGGACAUGCAAAGAAAUUUUGGAUAAUUUAUGCAGAAAUGUCUGUGUAACAUUGAUAGCGUGACAAUUGUGAGCUUAAUGAAGUAAGGGCAAGCCAACAUCAUAUUCCUACUAGGCAUUGUUUGAGUCCCAAAAUCUCUUAUUACCAUGACCUGCAGCUAAUUUUGAUAGGACAUAAAUAUAUAAUUGCUCAGCAUGCAAAGAACUAAGAAGUCAUAAUGUUAACCAAAAAUUACUCACACUAGGAACAAGGUCUGAAUCACUCUGAAGGAACUUUUAUUCUUAGUAAACUCUUGAGUCUUAUAUAUGUCAGAAACUAUGAUUGUCAAUUUGGACAGCCACCUCUCUUUCACAAGACAUUUUCAUUCAUUCUGGUCAUCAUGUUUCUGCAAGUAGGACUGAGUGUUGGGACUGGUAGUAGAAUGAUCACAUCAUAUAUAUGGACCAUCAGCCAUUGUGGUAGCGCUUCCUCGACCUUUUCUGUGAAAUUGCUUGCCAGUUUCUAUGCACUACCGGUGUGCCAGAAAUAUGAAAAUCUAAUUAAAUAGCUUAACGGAUUAAGCUGCCAUUGUGGUUGUUUUUCUAGUUUCAAGGACUCAUUUUAGACAUUACAAGUAUAUGACAAUGGAUUUGCUCUCAUGGACACCUUCUAUCAUUGUCAACCUAGAAAAUGGAUUGUUGACUUACUGGCUUGACCUUGACUUAAUGCUCAUCCACACAGUAGAAUGGACUAACAGACGAAUGGAGGAGAGAGAUCUGGUCACUCCAUAUUAUAUUACAAGUAGAUACCUGCAUUGUGAUGCACCAGCAACCAGAACCCCAAUCCAUGGCUACAGACAAUGUCUACGUUCUCUUCUUCUUAUUGGCCUUCCUAUGCAUUCAACUGAUAAAACCCAACGUCUGCGACGGAGCUCUAACCUCAGGCUGCAUCCCUGCCGAAAGAAGUGCUCUACUUGAGUUCAAACGAGGCCUGAAAGAUCCUACCAACAGGCUGUCCUCUUGGGUGGGUGAAGACUGCUGCAAAUGGGAGGGUGUGGCGUGCAGCAAUCAUACUGGGCAUGUCGUCAAGCUGGACCUCCAGAAUCCGCAUCCUUUCUCUGAUUUUAGUGACGAGCCAUACAACAACUGGACCUUAGGAGGUGAGUUGAGGCCUUCUUUACUUGGUCUGAAGCACCUAAAGUACCUGGACCUAAGCAUGAACAAUUUUGGAGGCAUUAGUAUUCCAGAAUUCAUGGGGUCAUUCCAUCAACUCCAAUAUCUUAACCUCUCCAGAGCUGGAUUGGGUGGAGUCCUGCCUCACCAGCUGGGAAAUCUCUCCGAUCUGCAGUAUCUAGACUUAUACAAUGACUUGGAUCCCAAUUUUGUGGUUCGGGUCCGUGAAUUUAGCAUUGGUGAUGCACUCUGGAUUUCUCACCUUUCUUCUCUAAAGCAUCUCAACCUGAAGAGUGUUAACUUUCAAAAUGGUACUCACUGGCUGGAAGCUCUGAACAUGCUUCCUUCUAUCGUGGAGAUAUACUUAUCUCUCUGUGAAAUUCCAAGUGUUCCCCUCUCUCUUCCGCAUGUGAACUUUACAUCACUAUCUGUUCUUGAUUUGUCCUAUAAUUUCAUUAGCUCUACGAUACCCUCUUGGUUAUUCAACAUAAGUGGCCUUGAGCAUCUUGAUCUCAGUGAUAACUUAUUUCAGGGUAAUAUUCCACCAGCCUUUGGUAACUUGGCUUCCCUCAAGGGCCUUAAUUUAGCUAACAAUUUUCGUCUUCAAGGAGGAAUACCCACUUCCUUCAAAAAUCUGUGCAAGUUGCAGAAUUUAAUAUUGUCAGGCAUCAAUAUCAGCAAAGAUUUGUUAGAACUCGAUGAAAUUUUCUCUGGUUGCAUCAAGAUGAGCCUAGAGGUUCUAAGCUUAGCUAGAACGAAUAUUAGUGGGCAGUUGCCUGAAUGGUUAUUCCAACUAGCGUCACUCCAAGAGCUCUAUCUUCAUCGAAAUCAACUGAAUGGAACUAUACCAGAAAGCUUGGGACAGCUGUCUCAGCUAGUUGUUUUGGACCUUUGGUACAACCAUUUGGAGGGUGUAAUGUCUGAGGCGCAUUUUGGAAACCUCACAGAAUUGAAAUACUUAACUUUGUCGUCCAACUCCUUGGCUCUGAAGGUCAAGAGCAAUUGGCUUCCUCCCUUCCGGCUAGAAUCCCUUUGGAUGGGCUCCUGCAAACUGGGUCCCGAGUUCCCUGCAUGGCUCCAGUCGCAAAUAAAUAUUUCAGAAAUUGUUAUGUCUAAUGCUAGUAUUAUUGAUGCUAUGCCAAACUGGUUUUGGAGCUUAAUUUCCACGGCAGUGUACGUGAGUGUCUCCGGCAAUCAGAUCAGUGGCCACGUACCCAAUUUGUUGCAUUUAAACAACCUCUACGGGUUGGAUUUAAGUUCAAACUACUUCGAGGGUCCUCUUCCAUAUUUUCCUCCUGGAUUGUCUUUAUUAGAUCUGUCAAACAAUUCAUUUUCAGGAACAAUUUCACUUGCCAUCAUCAUGAAUAUGCCUAACCUCGUAUAUUUAUCGCUUUCGGAAAACAAUUUAAGCGGUGAAAUUCCCUUCUCUAUAUGCCAACUGCAGGUCUUGUGGAUUCUUGAUCUUUCAAAAAAUAUGUUGUCAGGAGAGCUCCCCAAUUGCUGGAAUAAUUCUUCCCCAAUUGAAGUUAUGGAUUUUUCAAGAAACAACAUAUCUGGAGUUAUUCCUGAGUCGAUAUGUUCCUUAGUAUCGCUUCAGUCGUUGCACUUGAGCAAUAACAGUCUAUCUGGAGAGCUGCCUUUGUCCUUGAAGGAUUGUGGGAAAUUAAUCCUUCUUGAUGCCGGACAUAAUGAUUUGAAAGGUGAAAUUCAAACCUGGAUAGGUGAAAGUUUAACUAGUCUGCGGUUCCUCAAUCUGCGAUCAAAUAUGUUGGCCGGAGAUGUUCCUCCAAAUCUUUCAAGAUUGAGUGCUCUCCAAUUUCUCGACCUUGCAGAUAAUGAGCUAUCGGGAACUAUUCCAAGGAGCUUUGGAAAUUUUACUGCCAUGAAAGUAAUUGAAAAUUUUUCGAGUUGGAGGACAGGUCAAAUUAGAUAUAAGGAGCAGAUGUUUAUAACAACUAAAGGAAACACUCGAGCGUAUGAUGUGUCGCUUUCGCUUAUCAAUAUCUUGGACCUCUCGGACAAUAACUUAUUUGGAGGAGUACCUGAAGAACUCACAAGUCUUUUUGGCUUAUUCAGCUUAAAUUUAUCUGGAAACCAUUUCACAGGAGAAAUCAUUGAAAAUAUCAGUAAAUUACAACAGUUGGAGUCCCUUGACUUGUCAAGGAACAACUUUUCUGGCACAAUUCCUUCGAGCCUCGCUGCCCUGACUUCUUUGGCUCACUUGAACCUCUCAUACAACAACUUGUCAGGGGAAAUUCCUCUUGGUAAUCAACUUCUGACCUUCAAUGAUCCAUCUAUCUAUAUUGGCAAUCCUGGUCUUUGUGGGUUUCCUCUGAAUCAAAGUUGCAAAGACAAUGAGACAGCACAAGGUCGAAGUAAUGCAGAUGACAGAGAUGACAACGAGAUGAUAUGGUUCUACAUGAGCAUGGCACCAGGAUUUGUUGUUGGUUUCUGGGCAGUCUGGGGUACAUUGAUACUAAACAAGAAUUGGAACCUUUACUACUUCAGAUUUAUAGACAAUAUACUUGACAAAGUGUAUGUGUUCACCGUACUGAAAGUUUCUAGGAUCAGAAAACGUUGUUGUUUCCAACAAGGAUGAUAAAUUUGAACAUCAAUAUAUGCUGUAUGAGAGUUCAUCUCGUUAAUAUCAUAUCAUCAGCUUGAAUAAAAUUUAAUACUUCUGGACUUGUAUACAAGUAAGUCAUGCACUCUCAAUUUUGAUCAUUUCUGUCAAGUUCGCAGUACCAUAUGAAGUGUUCUAAUUCUGGGGACUGCCAAAAAGCUUGCACCUUUUAAUUAGUUUUUCCAAAAUAGACACCCCUUUUUUAGUUGUUCAGUUUGGCAGAAAUGAAAGGAGGUUAAAACUUUUACGAAGAUAUAGAUAGAAUUUCUGCAGCUGCGACAGAUGGAGCUGUUUAAUAUGAUCUACUCAUGUAAUGAUCCUCUUGUGUUUGAGAUGCUUGUCUUCAUCAAUCAAAUACAUAUUGGAUGCAUCAUAAGCUCAAGUCCACCAAAUGUGCAGCUGCUUGAUCAUCUUGGAUCUCAUGCUCAGAUCUUUUCACUUGAUGAGUCUCCCAUUAAUGGGGGACAUGCUGCUGCAGAUGAUGGAAUUGGGCCGAAGAGGCUUUCACACGCAUGUCAAUGUGACAAGGAUGAUCUGUGCAUGCAGGAAUAAUCCAUUUAUGAUAUACAGAGUGUGGCCCCUCUCUGAGCCGCUCACAUUGAAUUUUGCCAUGGAUUCUGUGUUAUGACUCGGGAUGUAGACGAGCUUCAUUUGAUUACCUGUUGCCAUUAGCACUCAAACGUAAGCAAAGUUCAUAGGAAUGUAAUUCUUGGUUCAAACUGUUUUGUAGACGCAAAACAAAGAAGAGGUGUUACAUCAACAUUUUCUUAUGGAUCUAAUUAUCACCCUCCAUAAAUAAGAGUGAUUAAGAUCAGGAGUGAAUCGAGAUUAAUAAUUUUUCUAGUAUCCAAUAAAUAAAAAAUUAUGUAUUUUUAUUUAAUUAUAGACAUUAUCUUGUACAAAACUCGAGAAUUGAUUUUAAAUAAUUGUUAUUAUUUUUGUAAAUAAAAAGAUCUAUUGCUCAAAAGAUAAUGUGUUAUUUAUAGAAAUGUAAGUUUGACUAGAAAUCCCACCACGAGAGAUUUCUUGAAAUAUAUUAAAAAUUAAUUAUUUUGAUCAUCUUGGCUAAACAAAAAAAUGUUGGUAAAAGGAAAACUUAGGUACUAAGAUAUCAAGUUGGUAUCAUCAGCAAGAAUUGUAUAAAUUAGAGAGUCCAAUUGAUAUAGAUGAGAAGGUAUGACAUGAGAAGAUUAUUAAUAUGGUUUAAUUGUUAAUAAUUCAUAAAUACUAGGUCGUAUUUAAUAUUAUUUCUUAAUUUAUAAAUGUCAUCGGCUCAUGUUAAUCUUUUCUGUAUCGUUCUAAUUUUAUUGGAUGUUUCUAGGUUAUGCUGGGCUUUGACGAAGAUAUCAAGUGAAAAAGUUUAUAAUAUCUUGAUUUAUAGAGUAGACAUAAUUAAGAUUGAUUUAUAAAGAUAUGAUGGACUUACUAUUAUUAAUUUUAACUUAAACACUUUAAUCAAUGGUUUAAGUUUUAAUAGCUCAUUAGUUUGUUAAGAGUAUCGACACAAUGACAGGGAGAUACAUGAUUAAGCUAGUCUCACACAAUGAUAGAGUGAUGCAUGGUUAAUCCCUUUAUGCAAGAUUUACUUUUUUAACAUGAGAUGAUCAUUGUUUUCUUUGUUUUUCAUGAGUAAAGUUAGCAUGUUCUCGAAGAUAAAAGAAAAAAAAAUUGACACGACAAGAGAGGAAUGGUAGCAACAGAUUCUGAACACAAACUAAGAUUCAAAGAUGAUGCAACCUUGCUGUUGCAAAAGUAGAUGAGUAACUUGGCUCUGAUAGCUGGAAUUGAAGGUCUUCCUUCCUCUUGUUCUGCUCAGUUGCAUUAUCAUGUCAAUUUCCAGGAGAGUUUCCCAGCGACUGCUGAUCGCUGUCUUCUUGGUGACCACAAAUCUUGUCUUUCUUUUAUUCGUGUUAAUAAUGGUUGUCUGAUAGCUACAAAUUUCUCCUAUUUAGCAGUUCUUAGGAAAUUCUCAAAACCUUCACAUUCAAGAAGAUGCUGGAGUCUUUAGAUGAAAGCUAUUCCAACUUUGGGACUCGUCAAAAUCAGAAGUCAUAGUUGACUGACUUGAGGAUAGACAACAAUAUGAAAUGAAGAACAAGUGCAUGAUAUUGGCAGACAGCCUAAUUGUUGAAGGUUUCUUGGUCUACUCUUUGAAUCCGUCAGUUGAGUAGUUUCAGACUAACGGAGGAUGAUCCAAACAGGGCAUGAUAAUAAUAUUUUGUGUAUUGCAAGCUGUCCACCGCAGAUUUCUCAUGAUUAAUCUUAAGAUAAGCUGCGUAUUUUUAUUAUCUGUAAUCUAAGAUAAUUGUGUUGGUGUGAGAUGAUCCACUUUGAUCAAGUACACAAUUUCCCUCCCAAUCGAUGGAAUCAUGGUUGUGGUAAUAAUUGUUUUCAGGUGUAUGCAAAAAGGCAAAUCUACCUGUUCUGUGAAAUUUCUUGCCAGUUUCUAUGCACUACCGGUGCCAGAAAUAUGAAAAUCUAAUUAAAUACCUUGACGAAUUAAGCUGCCAUUAUGGUUGUUUUUCUAGUUUCUUGGACUCGUUUUAGACAUUACAAGUGUAUGACACUGGAUUUGCUCAGUAGAACAUCAUGGACGACCUUCUAUCAUUGUCAACCUAGAACAUCGNNNNNNNNNNNNNNNNNNNNNNNNNNNNNNNNNNNNNNNNNNNNNNNNNNNNNNNNNNNNNNNNNNNNNNNNNNNNNNNNNNNNNNNNNNNNNNNNNNNNNNNNNNNNNNNNNNNNNNNNNNNNNNNNNNNNNNNNNNNNNNNNNNNNNNNNNNNNNNNNNNNNNNNNNNNNNNNNNNNNNNNGUGCAGCAAUCAUACUGGGCAUGUCGUCAAGCUGGACCUCCAGAAUCCGCAUCCUUUCUCGGAUUUUGGUGACGAGCCAUACAACAACUGGACCUUAGGAGGUGAGUUGAGGCCUUCUUUACUUGGUCUGAAACACCUGAAGUACCUGGACCUAAGCAUGAACGAUUUUGGAGGCAUUAAUAUUCCAGAAUUCAUGGGGUCAUUCCAUCAACUCCAAUAUCUUAACCUCUCCAGAGCUGGAUUGGGUGGACUCCUGCCUCACCAGCUGGGAAAUCUCUCCAAUCUGCAGUAUCUAGACUUAUCCAAUGACUUGGAUCCCAAUUUUGUGGUUCCGGUCCGUGAAUUUAGCAUUGGUGAUGCACUCUGGAUUUCUCACCUUUCUUCUCUAAAGCAUCUCAACCUGAAGAGUGUUAACUUUCAAAAUGGUACGCACUGGCUGGAAGCUCUGAACAUGCUUCCUUCUAUUCUGGAGAUAUACUUAUCUCUCUGCGAAAUUGGAAGUGUUCCCCACUCUCUUCCGCAUGUGAACUUUACAUCACUGUCUGUUCUUGAUUUGUCCUAUAAUUUCAUUAGCUCUACGAUACCCUCUUGGUUAUUCAACAUAAGUGGCCUUGAGCAUCUUGAUCUUAGUUCGAACAACCUUCAGGGUAAUAUUCCACCGACCUUUGGUAACUUGGCUUCCCUCGAGGAACUUAAUUUAGCUAACAAUCCUCUUCAAGGAGGAAUACCAACUUCCUUCAAAAAUCUGUGCAAGUUGCAGAAUUUAAUAUUGGCAGGCAUCAAUAUCAGCAAAGAUUUGUUAGGCCUUGAUGAAAGUUUUUCUGGUUGCGUCAAGAUGAGCCUAGAGGUUCUAGGCUUAUCCGGCACGAAUAUUAGUGGGCAGUUGCCUGAAUGGUUAUUCCAAUUCAGGAAGCUUAAAUCACUCCAGUUGAAGCAGAAUCUGAUUUCUGGGCCUAUUCCUGUAUCAAUUGGACAACUAGCAUCACUCCAAGAGCUCUUUCUUGGUCAAAAUCAAUUGAACGAAACAAUACCAGAAAGCGUGGGGUGGCUGUCUCAGCUUGUUUCUUUGGACCUUGAGCACAACAAUUUGGAGGGUGUAAUGUCUGAGGCGCAUUUUGGAAACCUCACAGAAUUGAAAGACUUGUAUUUGUCGUCCAACCCCUUGGCUCUAAAGGUCAAGAGCAAUUGGCUUCCUCCCUUCCAGCUUGAAUCCCUUCGGAUGGACUCUUGCAAACAGGGUCCUGAGUUCCCUGCAUGGCUCCAGUCGCAAAAAAAUAUUUCAGAAAUUGUUAUGUCUAAUGCUAGUAUUAUUGAUGCUAUGCCAGACUGGUUUUGGAGCUUAAUUUCCACAGCAGAGUACGUGAGUUUCUCCGGCAAUCAGAUCAGUGGCCACGUACCAAAUUUAUUGCAUUUAAACAACCUCAUCGAGUUGGAUUUAAGUUCAAACUACUUGGAGGGUCCUCUUCCAUAUUUUCCUCCUAGAUUGGAAGCAUUAGAUCUAUCAAACAAUUCAUUUUCAGGAACAAUUUCACUUGCCAUCAUCAUGAAUAUGCUAAACCUCAUGUAUUUAUCAUUUUCAGAAAACAAUUUAAGUGGUGAAAUUCCCUUCUCUAUAUGCAAACUGUCGGUCUUACAGUUUCUUGAUCUUUCAAAAAAUAUGUUAUCAGGAGAGCUCCCCAGUUGCUGGAAUGAUUCUUCCCCAAUUGAAUUUAUAGAUUUUUCAAGCAACAACAUAUCUGGAGUUAUUCCUGAGUCAAUAUGUUCCAUAGCAUCGCUUCAGUCGUUGCACUUGAGCAAUAACAGUCUAUCUGGAGAGCUGCCUUUGCCCUUGAAGGACUGUGGGAAAUUAUACCUUCUUGAUGCCGGAUAUAAUAAUUUGAAAGGUGAAAUUCCAACCUGGAUAGGUGAAAGUUUAACUAGUCUGAGGUUCCUCAAUCUGCGAUCAAAUAUGUUGGUCGGAGAUAUUCCUCCAAAUCUUUCAAGAUUGAGUGCUCUCCAAUUUCUCGACCUUGCGGGUAAUGAGCUAUCGGGUACUAUUCCAAGGAGCUUUGGAAAUUUUACUGCCAUGAAAGUAAUUGAAAAUUUUUCAAGUUCGACGACAGAUCAAAUUAGAUAUAAGGAGCAUAUGUUUAUUACAACUAAAGGAGACACUCAAGACUAUGGGAAGUCACUUUCGCUUAUGAAUAUUUUGGACCUCUCGGAUAAUAACUUAUUCGGAGGAGUACCUAAAGAAGUCACAAGUCUUUUUGGCUUAUUCAGCUUAAAUUUAUCUGGAAACCAUUUCACAGGAGAAAUCACUGAAAGUAUCAGUAAAUUACAACAAUUGGAGUCCCUUGACUUGUCAAGAAACAACUUUUCUGGCACAAUUCCUUCUAGCCUCGCUGCCUUGACUUAUUUGGCUCACUUGAACCUGUCAUACAACAACUUGUCAGGGGAAAUUCCUCUUGGUAAUCAACUUCUGACUUUCAAUGAUCCAUCGAUCUAUAUUGGCAAUCCUGAUCUUUGUGGGUUUCCUCUGAAUCAAAGUUGCAAAGAUAGUGAGACAGCACAAAGUCAAAGUAAUACAGAUGAUAGAGAUGAGAAUGAGAUGAUAUGGUUCUACACGAGCAUGGCACCAGGAUUUGUUGUUGGUUUCUGGGCAGUCUGGGGUACCUUAAUACUUAACAAGAAUUGGAACCUUUACUAUUUCCGAUUUAUAGACAACAUGCUUGACAAAGUAUAUGUGUUUAUCGUACUGAAAGUUUCUAGGAUCAGAAAACGUUGUUGUUCCCAACAAGGAUGAUAAAUUUGAACAUCAAUAUCUGCUGUAUGAGAGUUCAUCUCGUUAAUAUCAUAUCAUCAGCUUGAAUAAAUUUUAAUACUUCUGGACUUCUAUACAAGUAAGUCAUGCACUCUCAAUUUUGAUCAUUUCUGUCUAGAUAGCAGUACCAUAUGAAGUGUUCUAAUCUUGGGGGAUUGCCAGAAAGCUUGCACCUUUUAAUUAGUUUUUCCAAAAUAGACACCCCUUUUUUAGUUGUUCAGUUUGGCAGAAAUGAAAGGAGGUUAAAACUUUUACGAAGAUAUACAUAGAAUUUAUGGUUUUAUUUUCCUUCUUUCUUUUUCAUCCUCUAUUUUCCCAAGUUCAUAGUAUCUACUUUCAUCAAAUGCAUUUGCAUGUCUUGUUCUACCCAAGCAUUACACGCUCAAAACUUAUUCGAUUGCGAUCACAAGUUCGGCUGCAAAAGAUUUGACCACCUUAUUCGAUUAGUUUAACUCUUAUUGAACUUAUGCACAGGUGUUUCUACCAUACGCUACUCUUGUUUAUGUAAAUCCAGUGUCAGUAUAUCUAGAAUCAGAUUUCAUUUUACAUUACUAAAUUUUUCUAGAGAUCAAGGUUUAAAUGAUCAUUAACCCUCCCUAGAGUCCACAUUGGUGAGAGCCUCUCAAGCAAAGGUACGUCUUCUUCUAAAUCUCUUCAAAUAUUAAAUUUAUCUCACAUAAAAGAGAUUUUAUAUAUUAAUGCAGUCUGAAUUUUGAUAUAGAAUAACUUGUCAUCACUGUCAAGAUAACGCGAAUUCUGCCCUACAAAGACAGCCUGAGUUAGAGCAGGAGUAGCUUGGAUCUGAAUUGCAUGUACACUGGAAUUGCUUGUGAUGGUUUCGUAUGUGCUCUCUAACCUUCAAAGUUAUGGUGCUCUCAAAGAGCAAAUAAGGUUCAUACACAAGAGACUUGUUGUAUUUGAGAUGUUACUUGUGCUUCAUGCUUUGAGUCUUACUGUAAGUUUGUAUCCUCCAAACUGUACACUGCUAGAACUAUCCGACCGAAGAAGCCAUGGAUGCAUCUGCAGUUGCAACAGAUGGAGCUGUUUAAUAUGAUCUACUCAUGUAAUGAUCCUCUUGUGUUUGAGAUGCUUGUCUUCAUCAAUCAAAUACAAAUUGGUUGCAUCAUAAGCUCAAGUCCACCAAAUGUGCAGCUGCAUGAUCUUCUUGGAUCUCAUGCUCAGAUCUUUUCAGUUGAUGAGUCUCCCAUUAAUGGGGGACAUGCUGGUGCAGCUCAUGGAAUUGGGCCGAAGAGGCUUUCGCAUGCAGGAAUAAUCCAUUUAUGAUCAACAGAGUGUGGCCCCUCUCCGAGCCGCUCACAUUGAAGUUUGCCAUGGAUUCUGUGUCAUGACUCGGGAUGUAUACGAGCUUCAUUUGAUUACCUGUUGCCAUUAGCACUCAAAUGUAAGCAAAGUUCAUAAGAAUGUAAUUCUUGGUUCAAACUGUUUUGUGGACGCAAAACAAAGAAGAGGUGUUACAUCAACAUUUUCUUAUGGAUCUAAUUAUCACCCUCCAUAAAUAAGAGUGAUUAAGAUCAGGAGUGAAUCGAGAUUAAUAAUUUUUCUAGUAUCCAAUAAAUACAAAAUUAUGUAUUUUGAUUUAAUUAUAGACAUUAUCUUGUACAAAACUCGAGAAUUGAUUUUAAAUAAUUGUUAUUAUUUUUAUAAAUAAAAAUAUCUAUUGCUCAAAGAUAAUGUGUUAUUUAUAGAAAGGUUAGUUUGACUAGAAAUCCCACCACGAGAGAUUUCUUGAAAUAUAUUAAAAAUUAAUUAUUUUGAUCAUCUUGGCUAAACAAAAAAAUGUUGGUAAAAGGAAAACUUAGGUACUAAGACAUCAAGUUGGUAUCAUCAGCAAGAUUUGUAUAAAUUAGAGAGUCCAAUACACAAUCAAAACUGGAAAUUUAAACUUUAGAAUUACAAUCCGUAUUGUUAUAUUUCACAUAUAUGUUAUUCCCAAUUUAUCAAAGGACCAUUCAUAUUUAGAUCAGGAUCGAUGCCCUUCAAUUAUAAUUGUAAUUGUAAUUAGAUCUAUCUAUUCCUUACCACCUAGCUCCGAUUAACAUUUUAUUUUGGGUCAUGAUUCGAGGAGCACGUAACAAAAGACAUUCACAAGCUUCGAAACAUCAAUUACUCUCAUGUUUGUUCUUGAAUUCUACAACUAGAAAUCUGAUCGUAAUAAAUUUUAAGUGCCAAAAGGAGACGUUUAAAGAUAAGAGAAUGAAUAUUAUUAUUUAUCUUUUUUUAAAUAUAUUGAAAACUAAUUAUUUUGACCAUAGAGUUGGUAUUAUCAACAAAAUUUGUAUAAAUUAGAAAGUCUUGUACACAAUAAAUUUAAAAAUAAUUUCAAGGAACAAGAUUUGAGUAGCCUUUGUGGAUUUGAGUAGAAGGUAUAGAUUUAUUAUUUAUGGAAAUAGAACUUAUUGGUGAAAUCGAUAGGAAAUAUACUCAUUGGCCUUAUAGAGAAUCAAAAGAUUUUUUUAAAAAAACUAAAAAACAUAAGUGGUCAACUAAUUAGUUUCAUAAUUUUCUUUCCGUGUGUUGUUCUAUGAUUUGUUAUUAUUAUUGUUAUAGAUGAGAAGGUAUGAUAUAAGAAGACUAUAAAUAUGGUUUAAUUGUUAAUAAUUCAUAAAUACUAGGUUGUAUCUAAUACUAUUUCUUAUUUAUACAUGUCAACGGCUCAUAUUAAUUUUUUCUGUAUCGUUCUAAUUUUAUUAGAUGUUUCUGAGUUAUACUGGAUUUUGACGAAGAUAUUAAGUGAAAGAGUUGGUAAUAUCCUGAUUUAUCUUACGGAUAUGAGUAAGAUUGACUUAUAAAGAUAUGAUUGACUUGCUAUUAUUAAUUCAAACUUAAACACUUUAAUCAAUGAUUUGAGUUUUAAUAGCUUAUUAGUUUGUUAAGAGUAUCGACACGGAGAUACAUGAUUAAUCUAGUCUCACACAAUGAUAGAGUGAUGCAUAGUUAAUCCCUUUAUGCAAGAUUUACUUUUUUAACAUGAGAUGAUCAUUGUUUUCUUUGUUUUUCAUGAGUAAAGUUAGCAAGUUCUCGAAGAUAAAGAAAAAAAAAAUUGACGAGAGGAACAGUAGCAACAGAUUCUGAUCACAACCUAAGAUUCAAAGAUGAUGCAACCUUGCUGUUGCAAUAGUAGAUGAGACACUUGCUUUUGUUCGCAAUCGUCAGUCUUCCUUGGUCUUUCUAUUGAAAAGUACAAGGAAACAACUUGGCUCUGUUAGCUGGGAUUUAAGGUCUUCCUUCCUCUUGUUCAGUUGCAUUAUCAUGUCAAUUUCCAGGAGAGUUUCCCAGCGACUGCUGAUCGCUGUCUUUUUGGUGACCACAAAUCUUGUCUUUCUUUUAUUCGUGUUAAUAAUGGUUGUCUGAUAGCUACAAAUUUCUCCUAUUUAGCAGUUCUCAGGAAAUUCUCAAAACCUUCACAUUCAAGAAGAUGCUGGAGUCUUUAGAUGAAAGCUAUUCCAACUUUGGGACUCGUCAAAAUCAGAAGUCAUAGUUGACUGACUUGGGGAUAGACAACAAUAUGAAAUGAAGAACAAGUGCAUGAUAUUGGCAGACAGCCUAAUAGUUGAAGAUUUCUUGGUCUACUCUUUGAAUCCGUCAGUUGAAUAGUUUCAGACUAAUGGAGGAUGAUCCAAACAGGGCAUGAUAAGAUUUUGUGUAUUGCAAGCUGUCUACCGCAGAUUUCUCAUGAUUAAUCUUAAGAUAAGCUGCGUAUUUUUAUUAUAUGUAAUCUAAGAUAAUUGUGUUGGUGUGAGAUGAUCCACUGUGAUCAUGUAUACAAUUUUCCUCACAAUUGAUGGAAUCGUGGUCAUUGGUAAUAAUUAUUUUCAGGUGUAUUAAAAGGACAAAUCGAUCUGUUCUGUGAAAUUUCUUGCCAGUUUCUAUGCACUACCGGUGCCAGAAAUAUGAAAAUCUAAUUAAAUACCUUGACGAAUUAAGCUGCCAUUAUUGUUGUUUUUCAAGUUUCUUGGACUCAUUUUAGACAUUACAAGUGUAUGACAAUGGAUUUGCUCAGUAGAACAUCAUGGACACCUUCUAUCAUUGUCAAC
rnacentral:lncRNA from 1 species